rnacentral:tRNA from 1 species
GCCUGGCUGGCUCAGUCAGUAGAACAUGUGACUCUUAAUCUCGGGGUCGUGAGUUCAAGCCCCACAUUGGGCA